rnacentral:lncRNA from 1 species
GCGGCAAAACUCCGGAGCGGCUUCCUUCGGCCGGCAGACCCGCGCCUUCAGCUCGAGCCGAGGCGUCGAAGGGCUUCCUCUCUGCCGAAGGCAGGCGAGGCCGUUCGCUCCCAGGCCCCUUUCUCUGGCAACGACCGAGCCAGUGGACCGCGGACGGCUGGGGACCAUCCUUGAUGAUUUCCCCAACUCCGGCAGCAGCUUGCUUUGGGGCAUAACUGCACCCUGCGGGUCAGGGAGUCCAGAAAAGGGACCCGGGAGGGAGGGCGUCCCGUUUACCGGAGCCCCGAAAGCCAGGGGAGUUGAUGGGGAGGUUGCCUGACUGUCUACCCAUCGGCCUGGACCCCAGAGCCAAGCCAGCUGAGUGAGUGCCGAGGGUCCCAGGUGACCGGGGGAGUGGCACUGCUCAGGCCUCUGCAAAGACUACCCUGGAGAAGCUGGUGGAGACAGACCUUUCUUGCUGAGUCCGGCCUCUGCAGAGCCUGCGCAGGCGCUGUCCACACCCCAAGGCCUGGGCUCAGGCCGAAGUUGCUCCACAACACCCCCAGCUGACAGCCAUCAACUGGCAGAGUCCCCAAGCACGGGGGCCCUCUGUUUACCAGAGAUAACCAGUGUGACGGCCCAGGCGGCAGAGCCGAGGGUGAGUACAGCCUGGGGAGCCAGGGUGAGGAGGAGCAGCGUCGUGGUGAAUGGGUCUUCCCAACCUUCUUCAGUUUUGUGUCUAGUGUUAUGUGGAGUGGUCAUCUUGCCCUGCUACCAGGCCUCCCUCGCCAAGAUAUGGGGAUCUUGUCAUCUCUAACCCCAUAGCCUAUAGAAGUGGGUCAGUUGCCCCUGGGUGCUGAGGUUCAGUAUGUACACAUGACAGAAGACCAGAAAGGUUC